rnacentral:misc_RNA from 1 species
UUCCUCCUACCACCUCACUAAGCCAUUCGACACAUUUACAACAUGGCCGUAUCAGUGUGCAAUUAACCAAAUUGUAAUUCACAAUCUCAGGCCAUUUGCAGUGCGAUUUUUUGCCGUGCAGUGUGGCUUUCGCUGCCACUGCAGUGUCAAUCUAGUGUCUGAAGACAAGGUUACCACCUUACAUACCUACACUUCUGCCGAUAUAACAGCAUCGUUGAUGCAUCGCCAAUCAUAACAGCAACAACAUCUUUCCUGUUUAUUGAAGACAUUUUGCCAGGCCGUUUUUUUUUCUUCAUCAUCCGGCCAUGAAACUCCAGUAAUCCUGCCACCAUGGUCGACACAGUGAACAACAGGGAUGCUGGCUUCAGGUUCGGUGUUGGAGGACAUUGCGCAACGGGCAAAGAGUACACAGUGAAUACUCACCUGCGUGAGGAGUUCACCUACUGCCUGGACAGGGGUGGUGGUGGUGACGGUGGUGUGGAUCUGAGUACGGACAAGAGCGAGAGUUUGACCAGUAGCAGCAGUACUAGUAGUAAUAGCAACAACAAUAACAGCAACAACAGCAACAUCAACUGGGCUGGUUUCAGAAGUGUUGGUGGCACUAUGUCUCUGUUCCCCUUGGGUCAACCUACAUACAGCUGUCACAGUUACCCCACCAAUGCAGGCUCCCCGGAUGCAAACACUCCCGUCCCCUCGCACUCAUCUUCAUCUGUCAUGACGAGGGCGAUUAGUGCCUCGUUGACAACAACAGCAACAACAACAAAUGCCUUGUUGACGUCAACAGUGGCUGAAGCUUCCUUGACGACUGUCGCCAUGACAACAAUAGCAGCUUCAUCUGCGGCGCCCCUGCUGACUAUCUGCGGCCUCACCGCCAACCCUGUCCUCAACUUGGUCUCCAGUGAAACCUUAACCAAAGCCCAAAUGACGAACCAUCAACCUGGGUUGGGUUGUCCUCUUCGUUGCAGUUUGUCCAUGCUGGAGCAACCCGUUAGUAGUGGGGCCAUUGUUGGCAGCGAGGCUGGAGAUAGUUGUUGCCUUCAGAACGGUUUCAAGGACGAGGAAUUCAUUUCUAUUGCAGAGAUGCAACAAGCCUUUGCUCAACUUCCCCCCCUCCAUACCAUGACCACCACCACUAUGACUGGCAGUGUCCCUGGCUCUAAGCCACGUCAUGGUGGGGAACAGCUUGGAGGCGUCUCCGUCGUGAUCCCUCCGACUCUGCCCGCGUCUUCCUCUCCGACGCUACCUUUGUCAGUGCCGCAUUUACCGCUGCCGCCGCCGUCCCUUUCAGCCCCGGUGCCGCUGCCCCCUCACUGCGGGGACGCUCUCCCGCUUUACUGCAUGUCGUCGUCCACCAAGGGUGCAAUCGGCAGCGAGAGGAAGUCUGCCGAAGCCAGUCGUGCGUACGUACUGCACCAGCUGUUACUACAACAACAACAGCAACAACAACAGCAGCAGCAACAACAGCAUUUGCGGUUUCUUCAACAACAGCAACAACAACAACAAGACCAUGCUGUGCAACAGCAGCAUUAUCAACAACAACAACAGCAGCAAUUGUGGGAACAGCAGCAGCAACAACAACGAAUGCGGGAGGAAGAGUGUCAACCACAUGGAAGGUCAACAGAUUUUGCAGGGGUUUCACCACCUCUUCGUGUCCACUCUUGGACUUACAACAAUGAAUUUGUCUACUCUGAGCUCCUUGUUGAUAGUGCUGCACCAUCACCACCAUCAGUAGCAGUAGCAGCAACACCAACACCAGCAUCAAAUUUACCAAGACCCCCUCUGCCCCCACUGUCGCUGUCAUCACCGGCAUCAGAGCAGGGUAGUAACUGCAGCAACAAAGAAGAGGUGUGUUCGUCGAGACGCACCUAUUCACAGGUAGCAAAGCUGGCCAAAGAGAGACAGAAAACCACACCUGUCUUCAGCUCAGCAUCACUCUCUCCCUCUACGUCGAGCCUUUCUGCAUCGGGCCUCCAUGCAACCCUCUCAGCGCCUGGUUUUGGUAUGGGCCCCCCAUCUGUGCCUGGCAUCGGUGCGUGCCUCUCAACAUCCAGUUUUAGUGUACCCCUGUCGACAUCGGGCUUAGGUGUUUCCCUUUCUUCGCAACCAAAUCCGACUGCAAUGUUCUCUGCGAACCCCGUCGAUAGCAGGGGUCACAGCAGUAUUGACAGUGGGAGAAAAUCUGCUUCCUUUGCGAAUGUCCCCGCGUAUGAGAAUGCAAUGGGCUUAACAACAACAACAACAACAACAACAGCAUCCACCACCAGAAAAGAUAGAACCACAGUAUGCGGUGACAGUUAUGAUACCAGUGUUGGCGGCGGCGGCGAUGUGGAUCGAGAGAAUAGGGCGUCGCCUUUGUACGAGAGGUCAGACAGUUGUUGCCAGGGUAAGCCAAGCAACAAAUCCUCUCGCAGCAGCAGGAAGAAGAAGAAGAACUUCACUACAGCAGCCGUUCCUCCUCCUCCUUCACCUCCUCCACUAUCUCCUGCUUUCUUCUCAUCACCAUCUUCCUCAGCUGCAGUAUCAACGCCAGCGCCGUCAUCAUCAGCAUCAUCGUCAUCGUCACACCACAGUCCCCUUACUAGUCCCUCUCCUGCUUCCCCACCCUUUGCUGCUGGGUCGUGGCACCUCCCCCAGCAACAGCAGCAUCCACCCAAGUGCAGCCUGGAUGGCUCCAAAUGCACGGAAGAUGGACAGAGCAGCCACCGUCGCCAACGGAAACAGCUGCCAGAGUCUCCGUUGGCUGAUGGUGGUGGUGGUGGUGGUGGUGAGGGCGGCAUGAGGCGGCGGAGCACUCCGUCGCCGAACAUACUAAACAACGGAAUGCCGUCGCGGUCCCAGGGUAGGUGGCAGCACAGGCAGUCCCUGGGGUACAUCAAUAACGACCUGCAUCACUUCAAGAAGUGCACCAACACCACCGCCUGUUCCACGGAUGCGCUGCCUAACCAGCAUCCCGCUUACGCAAACAACAGUAGCAAUAAUAUUAAUAAUAAUAAUAAUAAUAAUAAUUAUAAUAAUAAUAGAAAUAAUAAUCGUAAUAACAAUGCUAAUAAUAAUAAUCAUAAUGAUCACAAUGGUAAUACUCACUGCAAGAGUAAUAAUGAUAAUGUUGUCCAUGGUAAACAUAGCCACCCGAACAUGAGUACCUGUAGUAGUGGUGGCGGCGGUGGUGGUGGUGGCAGUUACAGCAAUAAUAGUCGGAGCGGAGGGAAAUCAGGAAGGCUGGAUGAUGGCGCUGGUGGCGGAGACAACGGCAACGGCGGCGCUGGUAGUGGCGGUGGUGGUGGCGGCGGCAGCGCUGGUAGUGGUGGCGGCGGCAGCAGCAGCGGUGGUGGUGGUGGUGGUGCUGGUGGUGGUGGUAGAGGAGGAACCGGAGGCAGCAGCGGAGGUGGGAGUAGAACCAACAGUGGUGGUAGUAGUAGCUACAGUAACAACAACAACAACAACGACGACGACGGCGGUGGUGGUAGUGGUGGUGCUGGUGGUGAUGGUGGGAAUGGUUCGAAUGACUACUCUUCCUAUAUGUUUGGUGCCAGAUCAUCGCAGUCGACCUCCGGCGGAAGGUCAAGGAACAAGGGCACGUACCGACACCACCACCAUCAUCAUCAUCUGCAUCAUCAUCACCACCAACAUUCUCGACUACUCUUUGGCAUUGAUUAUCCAUCUUUCGCUAAAAUGUCCAAAUUAUUGAAUGAGAAACUCUAUUGGCUGGGCCAGCAACUGUGGACUCUGUCUGUCACUACGAUGGUCUUACUAUUGGCUAUUGUCACCACUGUGCUGCAUGUCCUUAUAUUAGUGGUCAGCCAUCUAUGGACAUUGGUCUUGAUGCAUGUCUGGAAGAGACACCUGUCCCAGGGGGGCAGCAAACGAAAGCAGACGGAUGAAAAGUUCGCUUACAAAAUUGGUCUUGAUGAAAACAUCAAACUUCCUGCUACAGGUGAAGAAGCUAUGCAAAGGUUGUUGAAUUGUCGUGGGAAAGACCCUUACAGUAUUUUAGGUUUGAAAUGCCAGAGCACAGAUGAAGACAUAAAGAAAUAUUACAAGAAGCAAGUAAUACUUGUUCAUCCCGACAAGAAUUCCCAAACUGGUGCUGAAGAAGCGUUCAAGAUACUUCACCAUGCUUUUGACAUGAUUGGAGAACCCGCCAAGAGACAACUCUAUGAUUCACAGGUUCAACAAUCCCACCAGGCUGUGAAAGAUUUUGCUGAUCUUUUGGAGAAACUGAACGAGAAAUUUAAGAAGGAAGCUAAUAUGAUGAACUGUGACAAGUGUGGAGGCAAACACCAGCGAAUCCCUCUCUCUCGAGCUUGGUACAGUGCUCGUUACUGUCAAUCGUGUAAGACAAACCAUGCAGCUAACGAGGGUGAUGUCUGGGCUGAAUCAACAGUUUUGGGUUUCUUGUGGCACUACUACACCUGUAUAGAUGGAGUUAUAUACGACAUAACAGAGUGGGUCUCUUGCCAGAAGAAACUGUUCAAACAUAUGAAAUCGAACGCACAUCGGGUCUCUUAUAGGAUUGAGCCAACAACGAACAAGACAAAAUCUUUCUGGACUGGGGAAAGCGAAGUGGAUGACUUCAUUCAUGACCUCCUCAACAUGAGUCGACAAUCCAAUGGUUCUGGCCCUCCACACUUCAACAACAACAACAACAGGUAUAACACCAGUAGUGGUGGUGGUGAUGGUGGUAGCAGUGGUGCAGGGUCUUUCUUCACCCCACCCUCAUCGGCUUCGUACCCUCCGACCUCAGGCUCAACCACUACCACCAAUGCUACAGCUGGUCGUAGCACCAAGCGAAGACGGAGAAAGAAGAAGAACUGAGGAGAAAUUUUGGGUAGAUGGAUUGUCAGAUUUUGUUGGAGGUGGUCAUCUGUUUAUGACGUCAUGCAAACCGUCAGUGCAUUUGGCUAUGAUGAUGAUGAUGAUGAUAAUGAUGACAAUUAUAACGACAGCAUUUACGGUGAUAAUGCUGACGGCUUAGCCACUGUCGUGAUGACAGUAAAGAUUGUAAUGAUGAGUGUGGUGAUGACAGUGAAGUCUAAUGAUGACAAGUGUGGUGACAGCUGUAAAGACUUGUGAUGACAGGAAAGACUUGUGCUGACAGCUGUAAAGACUUGUGAUGACAGGAAAGACUGUAGCAGCCUUCAAGGCGUUGUUUUGUCAGAACCAUCCACAGACAGUUAUCAACCAUCAAAUAAUAAAAAUUCUAUCAACUUCAAGCUUCAUUUUUUUAUCAUUUUCCCUUUUACAAUAAAAACGAAACUUU